AGAAUUUAUCGUGAUAAAAGUUGAAGUAGCUUUGGAGAAAGAGUUUACUGAAGAGCUAAAGAACAAGUCUUCGCAAGUUUAUCAAGAAUUGGAAAGAAAUAUCACUGCAGAGGUAAUUAUGAAUAGAAUAUUGUUGAAAAAUCGCCACUUAUUAAAAUUAUACAGUAGUUUCCGGAGCUUCGCUAGAAUAAACUUUUAAUUAAGUCUGUUAGUUGCAUG